CAGUAGCCGCGGGAAUACGUAGGGUGCAAGCGUUAAUCGGAAUUACUGGGCGUAAAGCGUGCGCAGGCGGUUUUGUAAGACAGAGGUGAAAUCCCCGGGCUCAACCUGGGAACUGCCUUUGUGACUGCAAGGCUAGAGUACGGCAGAGGGGGAUGGAAUUCCGCGUGUAGCAGUGAAAUGCGUAGAUAUGCGGAGGAACACCGAUGGCGAAGGCAAUCCCCUGGGCCUGUACUGACGCUCAUGCACGAAAGCGUGGGGAGCAAACAGGAUUAGAUACCCCUGUAGUCCCUGUCUCUUAUAC
rnacentral:rRNA from 1 species